CUAGGCAAGAAUUUUAGGACUGGACGUGAGGUUUACCUUUCAGCAUGGAAGGAAGAUAAUGAUCCAGCUCCAGGUGAGUUCACUCGUUACAUUGAUCCUACUGGAUAUCCACAGUUACUCACCAUACGUGGCACAAGUGUAUCGGCUCGUAUAGGACCAUGGAAUGGUUUACGAUGGAGUGGGUCACCCAUACCUCUACUAGACUGCUGCCAUUUCCAAUUUAGUUUCAACGAGGAGGAGGUUUACUAUCGCUAUACACUCAUAAACAGUUCGACUAUAACAAGACUAGUCCUGACUAGCAGCGGUU
rnacentral:misc_RNA from 1 species